CCCAGAUGAUUCCUGGUGGCCCAGAGGAGCCCACAGGAAGGAUCAGAGGGUACUCGGGGGGCUGGAGCACCCCUGCUAUGGGAAAGGCUGCAAGAGCUGGGAGCACUCUGUCUGAAGAAGGCUCAGGAGAAAACUUAGAGCUCCUUCCAGCCCCUGAAGGGACUCGCAGAGAGUUGGGGAGGGACUUGGGACAAGGACCUGCAGGGACAGCACAAGGGGGAAUGGCUUCCAACUGACAGAGGGCAAGGUUCCUUUGGAUAUUGAGAAGAAAUUCCUCCCUGGAGGAGGAAUGGUGAGGAGGGCAGAGAGGCACAGGUUGCCCACAGCAAACAGAGCUUGCCCUGGAAGUGUUCAAGGCCAGGCUGGAUGGGGCUCUGAACCACUUCCCUUCUGGUGUUCUUAUCAAGUGAGACGCUUUCCUGCAGGUUGCUUGUUCUAUUUUCUAACUCCAAGGUUGAAAGGAUUCCCAAGGAAGGGAGAAAAGGCUGAGCUGAAAUUCCUGAGCUGGGGUAGGCUGGGAAAACAUUUAGGACCAAGGUCCUCAGGGGCAGCCAUGCAAUCCUGAGUGUACUCAUCCCUGUAUUCUUCCAGGAGGCCCAGGAGCUUGGACUGAGCCAGCAGUUCCCUUCUCACAUGUUCCCUCAACAGCAACCUUCCUCAAGAGCCCCUGAGGAGUGGCAAGAGGCAAAAAAACACGAAGAACGACCCCGGAGCGGCCUUGAAAAAGCAGGAAGCCCCGGAGAUGUGUCCGGGACAAGAGCAGAAACCGCGGCAGGCGGCGGCACGGGGACGUUCCCGAGCGCUCCGCUCCGCAUCCCUCUGUCCAGGCUCCGCGAAAUAGAAGAGGAGCUGCUGUGCGCGGAUGAGGCGGACAAUGAGUUCGAGUCUGGCGAGCCAGGGCCAGCGGCAGGGCCAGCAGCAGCGGCUCAGCCUCCCGGCCGAGCCCCAGCGCUGGGGGACAGCCGGGGCCUCGGCGCUGGCGCGGGGCUGCGGGCGGCGCUGCGGGAAGGCAGCGCUCGCUGCCGCCAGCGCGAUUUCGCUGCGGCCGCCGCCAAAUUCUCCACGGCACUGGAGGUAUGGGACUUAAAGGGCUGUGAACCCACACAGGGGCCCCUGCGCAACAAAGCCAAGGCUGUCCCCGCGCUCCCUGCGGCAGGAAUAGCGAAGGGAGCCAGGGGCACCAACCUGGAGGGUUGGAGAGAAAUCCUGAGAUUUCACCUGAAAUCUGAGAAUUGA
rnacentral:lncRNA from 1 species